UACGAAGGGGGCUAGCGUUGUUCGGAUUUACUGGGCGUAAAGCGCACGUAGGCGGAUCGUUAAGUCGGGGGUGAAAUCCUGGAGCUCAACUCCAGAACUGCCUUCGAUACUGGCGAUCUAGAGUCCGGAAGAGGUGAGUGGAACUCCUAGUGUAGAGGUGAAAUUCGUAGAUAUUCGCAAGAACACCAGUGGCGAAGGCGGCUCACUGGCCCGUAACUGACGCUGAGGCACGAAAGCGUGGGGAGCAAACAGG
rnacentral:rRNA from 1 species